GCAAAAUGGUGCCGUAACUUCGGGAGAAGGCACGCUGACACGUAGGUGAAGUGAUUUACUCAUGGAGCUGAAGUCAGUCGAAGAUACCAGCUGGCUGCAACUGUUUAUUAAAAACACAGCACUGUGCAAACACGAAAGUGGACGUAUACGGUGUGACGCCUGCCCGGUGCCGGAAGGUUAAUUGAUGGGGUCAGCGCAAGCGAAGCUCCUGAUCGAAGCCCCGGUAAACGGCGGCCGUAACUAUAACGGUCCUAAGGUAGCGAAAUUCCUUGUCGGGUAAGUUCCGACCUGCACGAAUGGCGUAAUGAUGGCCAGGCUGUCUCCACCCGAGACUCAGUGAAAUUGAACUCGCUGUGAAGAUGCAGUGUACCCGCGGCAAGACGGAAAGACCCCGUGAACCUUUACUAUAGCUUGACACUGAACAUUGAGCCUUGAUGUGUAGGAUAGGUGGGAGGCUUUGAAGUGUGGACGCCAGUCUGCAUGGAGCCGACCUUGAAAUACCACCCUUUAAUGUUUGAUGUUCUAACGUGGACCCGUGAUCCGGGUUGCGGACAGUGUCUGGUGGGUAGUUUGACUGGGGCGGUCUCCUCCUAAAGAGUAACGGAGGAGCACGAAGGUUGGCUAAUCCUGGUCGGACAUCAGGAGGUUAGUGCAAUGGCAUAAGCCAGCUUGACUGCGAGCGUGACGGCGCGAGCAGGUGCGAAAGCAGGUCAUAGUGAUCCGGUGGUUCUGAAUGGAAGGGCCAUCGCUCAACGGAUAAAAGGUACUCCGGGGAUAACAGGCUGAUACCGCCCAAGAGUUCAUAUCGACGGCGGUGUUUGGCACCUCGAUGUCGGCUCAUCACAUCCUGGGGCUGAAGUAGGUCCCAAGGGUAUGGCUGUUCGCCAUUUAAAGUGGUACGCGAGCUGGGUUUAGAACGUCGUGAGACAGUUCGGUCCCUAUCUGCCGUGGGCGCUGGAGAACUGAGGGGGGCUGCUCCUAGUACGAGAGGACCGGAGUGGACGCAUCACUGGUGUUCGGGUUGUCAUGCCAAUGGCACUGCCCGGUAGCUAAAUGCGGAAGAGAUAAGUGCUGAAAGCAUCUAAGCACGAAACUUGCCCCGAGAUGAGUUCUCCCUGAGACUUUAGGUCUCCUGAAGGAACGUUGAAGACGACGACGUUGAUAGGCCGGGUGUGUAAGCGCAGCGAUGCGUUGAGCUAACCGGUACUAAUGAACCGUGAGGCUUAACCUUACA
rnacentral:rRNA from 1 species